rnacentral:hammerhead_ribozyme from 1 species
AUCCAGCUGACGAAUCCCAAAUAAGAUAGAACGUGAGUCCUGGAU